rnacentral:lncRNA from 1 species
CCGGUACAAGAAACCGUGUACCGGUACAAGGAGCCCGAAACAGCAGGGCAGUUUUAGAAAGUGGAAAAGUUGAGGGGCUUUUGGGAUUUCGUUACAAUAGAGAGAUAUUAGCCCUCUCUCAGCCUCUCUCUCACACACUUAGCCUCUCUCUCUCCCUCAAACAUAGCUCUCUCUCUCUCUAACCGUGAGAAGAAGAAAAGAAGGAGAAGAAGAAAGAAUGAGAGAAAGAAGGAGAAAUGAAGAAGGAAAAGGAGGAGAAGAUCAAGGAGAAGGAAACGAA